GUUUUUAUAGUUUAUAAAAACAUUGGUUUUGUAUACCAAAAAUAAGAUUUAUCUUUAAAAACU
rnacentral:tRNA from 1 species